GCGAGCGUAGUUCAAUGGCAGAACUCCAGCUUCCCAAGCUGGUGGUGCGGGUUCGAUUCCCGUCGCUCGCUCCA
rnacentral:tRNA from 1 species